CGACUUUCGGCAUCCGGAUAUCUCGGCUCGAUAGAUGAAGAACGAGCAAAAUGCGAUACUUGGUGUGAAUUGCAGAAUCCCGUGAACCAUCGAAGUCUUUGAACGCAAGUUGCGCACCAAGCCUUCGCCGAGGGCACGCCUACCUGGGUGUCAAAAUCGCCGCCCCCAUCCUCCUCGAGGAUAUGGGACGGAAGCUGAUCUCCCAUGUGUUACCGCACUCGGUUGGCUAAAAAUACGAAGCAAGGACGCCAGAGCAUCUUGACAUGCGGUGGUGAAUUCAAUUCUCCAUAUAGUCGACGCUCCGUCCAAAAGCUCUUGAUGAGGCAAAGUCCUCAACGCGACCCUAGGUCAGGCAGGAUCACCCGCUGAGUUUAAGCAUAUCAAUAAGCGGAGGAAAAGAAAUUAACAAGGAUUCCCUUAGUAGCGGUGAGCGAACCGGGAAGAGCCCAGCAUGAAAAUCGACAUCUUCGGCGUCGAAUUGUAAGUUCAAGUGUCCUGCGUCAGACCGGGCCCAAGUUCCCGGAAAGGGCUGUUUGAGAGCUGCAGCCCCAAUGUCCACGAGUCGGUUGUUUGAGAAUGCAGCCCCAAUCGGGCGUAAAUUUCGUGGGAUGGGCGAGACCGAACAACAAGUACCGCGAGGUAAAGAUGAAAAGAACUUUGAAAAGAGAGUCAAAGAGUGCUUGAAAUUGUCGGAGGGAAGCGAUGGGGGCGGCGAUUCAUCCCGGUCGGAUGCGGAACGGAGCAAUCCUUGCCAGCCAUCGAUUCGGGCCAUGGACCGACACGGAUUACGGUGGUAACCUAAGCUCGGCUUUUGUUACGCGCGGAGACGCUGCUACCUUUAAUCGGUUCUGGCAAAGACGCUUCACCUAAGUUCCUCGGAUCUGCGUGCUUUCGUAGGCCGGCCUGUGGGCUCCCCAUUCAAUCUGCCUUGAAACACGCACCAAAGAGUCUGACUUUGUGUAAGAGUCAACGGGUGAGUAAACCCGUAAGGCACAAGGGAAGCUGAUUGGUUGAUCCCUCACGGUUGCACAUCCCGACCGACCUUUGAUCUUCCGGAAAAGGUUCGAAAAGUGAGCAUGCCUGUCGACCCAAAGAUGGUGAACUAUGCCUGAGCGGGCGGCCGAGGAAACUCGUGGUGGAGGCUCGCAGCGAUACCGAUGUGCAAAUCGCUCGCCCGACGGUAUAUGGGCAUAAGGGGCGAAGACUAAUCGAACCAUCUAGUAGCUGGUUCCCUCCGGUCUCCCUCAGAUAGCCGGAGCUCGAAACGAAGUUCUAUCGGUAAAGCCAAUUAUUAGAGGCAUCGUGGACGAAUGUCCUCGACCUAUUCUCAAACUUUAAAUAGGUAUGACGGGUGGCUGCUUUGUUGAGCCAUCCCACGGAAUCGAUAGCUCCAAGUGGGCCAUUUUGGUAAGCGUAACUUUAGAUGCGGAUGAACCGGAAGCCAGGUUAUGGUGCCCAACUGCGCGCUAACCUAGAACCCACAAAGGGUGUUGGUCGAUUAAGACAGCAGGACGGUGGUCAUGGAAGUCGAACCGCUAAGGAGGUAAAACAACUCACCCGCCGAAUCAACUAGUCCUCGAAAAUGGAUGGCGCUGAAGCGCUGACCUAUACCCGCCAGCCGGGAAAGAGCCAGGCCUCGAUGAGAAGGAGGGCGGUGGUCGCUGCAAAACCUAGGGCGCUGAGCCCGGCAUGAGCGCCAUCGGUGCAGAUCUUGGUGGUAGUAGCAAAUAUUCAAAAUGAGAACUUUGAAGGCCGAAGAGGGGAAAGUUUCCAUGUGAACAGCACUUUGCACAUGGGUUGGGGUCAUCCUAAGAGUCGGGGAAACCCGCCUGAUAGCUUUUUGGCGAACUUCAAAAGGGGAUCCGGGUUAAAAUUUCAGAACCAGGACGGGAGGUUGAUGGCAAUGUUAGGGAAUCCGGAGACGCCGGGCGGAAUUCGAAAGAGUUAUCUUUUUUCUGUUUAACAGCCUGCCCACCUCGAAACGCUCAACCGGAGGGGGUCCAGUGGCUGGAAGAGCACCGCAGACGCCGCGGUAUGCCGCUUCACGCCGUAUCGCAUCAUAACCGCAUCAGGUCUCCAAGGUGAACAGCCUUCCGGGUCAAUGGAACAAUGUGGCAAGGGAAGUUGGCAAAAUGGAUCCAUAACUUCGACCCGGUUGAAACUAUCAUGGGCUGCUUGAUCCGCUAACGUUGGCGAGCAGCAUCGCCGUGGUCGGCCGGGGACGGACUGGAACGGUUCUUUCGGUUCUUUCCGGCGUCAACAGCCAACUCAGAACUGGUAAUGACAAGGGGAACCGGAAUGUUUAAUUAAAACAAAGCAUUGGCGAUGGUCCUCGCGGAUGCUAACGCAAUGUGAUUUCUGCCCAAGAAGCUUUUGAAUGUGAAAGUGAAGAAAUUCAACCGCGGGUAAACGGCAGGAGUAACUAUGACUCUCUUUAGGUAGCCAAAUGCUUUGUCAUCUAAUUAGUGACGCCGCAUGAAUGGAUUAACGAGAUUCCCCACUGUCCAUGUGUACCAUCCAGCAAAACCACAAAUAAGGGAACGGGCUUGGCAGAAUCAGCCGGGAAAGAAGACCCCAUUGAGCUUGACUCUAACCGAAUUUUGUGAAAUGACUCGAGAUGUGUAGAAUAAGUGGGAGCUCCGCACAAGACUCGCCUGCAGGUCAAUCUGGGCGAGGACAUUGUCAGGUGGGAGUUUGGCUGGGGCAGGACAUCUGAUAAAAAAGAUAACACGUGUGUCCUAAGAUGAGCUCAACGAGAACAGAAAUCUCGUGGGAACAAAAGGGUAAAAGCUCGCUUUGAUUCUGAUUUUCAGUAACGGCAUACAACCGUAAGAGUGUGGCCUAUCGAUCCUUUAAACCUUCAGAAUUUGAAGCUAGAGGUGUCCCAAAAGAUAAACACGGAUAACUGGCUUGUGGGCAGCCAAGAGUUCAUAGCGACGCUGUUUUUUGAUCCUUCGAUGUCGGCUCUUCCUAUCAUUGUGAAGCAGAAUUCACCAAGUGUUGAUUGUUCACCCACCAAUAGGGAACGGGCUGGUUUUAGACCGUCGAGACAGGUUAGUUUUACCCUACUGAUGCCCGCUGUCGCAAUAGUAAUUCAACCUAGUACGGAGGAACCGCUGAUUCGACAAUUGGCCAUCGCGCUAGGUUGAAAGCCGUAUACGGCCGGUUACCAUGCUUGAUUAUGACUGAACGCCUCAAGUCAGAACUGGCAAAGCAACGAUGCCUCCCGAUUGCCGAAUUCAGUAGGAGCUUCGCCCCAAAGGCACGCGGUCGCUAUUAAGGCUGUUCGCGGAAGCUCCGCUCGGACCGCUUUGAAUUAUAAUUACCACCGAGCCAGCGGGUAAUCCCUUUGCGCAUCUAAUUUUAAAUACGCCGACGGGUAUUGAAAGUGGUAGAGGGGGCUUUGCUGCCACGAUCCACUGAGAUUCAGCCCUUUGU
rnacentral:rRNA from 1 species